GACGGAGGGUGCGAGCGUUGUUCGGAUUGACUGGGCGUAAAGGGCGUGUAGGCGGUCGGCCAAGUCUGGUGUGAAAGCCCGGGGCUCAGCUCCGGAAGUGCGCCGGAAACUAGCUGGCUGGAGCGCGGUAGAGGAGGGUGGAAUUCCUGGUGUAGCGGUGAAAUGCGCAGAUAUCAGGAGGAACACCGGUGGCGAAGGCGGGUCUCUGGGCCGAUAUUGACGCUGAGGAGCGAAAGCGUGGGGAGCGAACAGG
rnacentral:rRNA from 1 species